CUCUUUGACAGGCUUGGAGCAGUUAAUGUCUGAUUCUAAGGUCUCCACUACAGAAAAAGAAAAGUUCCUCGCGCUGUCUUUCUGCUUGCGGCUGCCAAGACUGAAUGGGGGAGGUAGAG
rnacentral:snoRNA from 1 species